UUGGACUUCUGUUCUUGACACAGAUUGUCAAUAAUGAACAUCAUGUUCAAACAUAAGGGUGUCCAUGUGUGCACUCUGCAACAGGACACCCUAGGCCACAGUUCAAUGAUGGACUUUGUAGUCAUGUCAUCGGCUUUGCGGCCGCAUAUUUUGGAUAGAGGCGGAGCUGUCAACUGAUCACCACCUGGUGGUGGUUUGGCUUCGACGGUGGGGGAAGAUGCCAGUCCGACCUGGCAGGCCCAAACGUAUAGUGAGGGUCUGCUGGGAACGUCUGGCAGAAUCCCCUGUAAGGAAGAACUUCAACUCCCACCAGAGCUUUUCCCACGUUGCGGAGGAGGCGGGGGACAUUGAGUCCGAGUGGAUCAUGUUCCGUGCCUCUAUUGUUGAGGCAACCGACCGGAGCUGUGGCCGUAAGGUGGUUGGUGCCUGUUGUGGCGGCAAUCCCCGAACCCUUUAAGGCAUGCCUUCAAGCUGAAGAAGGAGUCCUAUCAGGCCUUUUUGGCCUGCGGGACUCCAGAGGCAGCUGGCAGGUACCGGAUGGCCAAGCGGUACGCGGCUUCGGCGGUAGCUGAGGCAAAAACUCGGGCGUGGGAGGAGUUUGGCGAGGCCAUAGAGAACGACUUCCGGACGGCUUUGAGGAAAUUCUGGUCCACCAUCCGGCGUCUCAGGAGGUUUACAGUGGAGAUGGCGUGCUGCUGACCUCGACUCGGGACGUCGUGAGUCGGUGGGGAGAGUACUUCGAAGACCUCCUCCAUUCCACCGACACACCUUCCAUUGUGGAAGCAGGUGUCAAACGGGCACUUUUUAUCCGGCUCCCCGGUAACAGGCUCAAUGAGCCGAGGGUGAAGGGACUCGUCCGUAGCUGACCACCCGAGUUAAAUUAAUUCUACCAGAAUCAAUCUAAUUUCUUUACGACGCCAACCCCUUUCAAGUCAUCCGACGCGCGAGCUGAGUAACUCAAUUCGAGGCAAGUCGUCAGAUGCCUUUGUUAAGACCUCAAGGAUUUGUUAAUUUACUAGAGCGCCCUCGCCCUAGCUGAGCUCAAGAUAACUACUUCGAACCAGAUCUGACAAUUCCUGAUGUUAAGGAUUAAAGCUGUCUUCACUUUAAAAAGAAUUGAACGGAUUUAAAGAAUGACUAUGAUAGGGAAAUAAAGACAUUUUAAAGUUGUAAUUACCGCAUAUAAAACCAUGCUCGACAUAGUUAAUACGAAAUAAUCGAUACCAAAUUAAGGCUUAAGAGAUUUAAUGAAUAAGCCAGAAAAAGAAUUAUAAGUCGAAAAAACAAAAUAACAAGACUCACCCACACAGAACAAGAGACGAGACUAAAGGUCUAAAAUCCUAUUUGGUUGAACAAGUCGAGUGAUCGGCUCUCCUUUGUUCCAAAAUCCGAAUUCUGUUUAAAAAAGAGGAAAGGUCUGGCCGUGAGGACCGUAGCCAGAUAAGUAAAAAAGAAGUCGCCACUUCUUCUUUAUGCCCGGGGCGGCUUUUUCCUCUGCCUUCCUCGAAGCUCAAAAUUUGACAAAGUCAAAUUCGAAGACUCUGGAAAUUCAUUUUAGUAGAUUUUGGUUCAAUCUAGAAAAGAAUGAAAAAUCCAUCUUCGUUCUUUUACUCCGGCCAGCGUCACGGCCAUCGCCCUGACUAGGAAGAAGCGCGCCCGCUCUGUGUCCGGGCAACCUAUUUAUAGGCUUCUGGCAUUACCUCAUCGGAAUAACUUCACCGGUACGUGAGGUGGCCUUUCUGGAAGUUUUUGGAAUUUUCUGGAAGCUUCGAGAAUGUUCCUUAGCUGAUCCCUGUCCAGGCCAGCUGGAAACCACUGGUUGUCUUGGCAACCUUGCUUCAAGCAGCAAUCACCGGAAACAGAUGUUUCCUGUUUUGCUCGUUCUUUACUUGCCCUUAAUGUCUCCUCUCAACUUAAUACAUUCAGGUAUGGAUGGAACACCAAUGUUAAAUACAGGUUGGACAAAACAUUGCAACAUGAAUCACAUAUAUCUUGUCUAAUAAAGAUCAGUCUCAACACAUAAUAGUACUUAACACAAUAAUGGGUUCCUCCAACUUAAACACAUAUAUUGAUAUUGGUCAAGCUGUUGCAUCUUAAAAUUAUGGCAUAGCAAACUCAUAUUCCAAAAUUGUGCCUUGCUACGCGUUUGAGCAGGUCGUGUCCUCCCAAUUGCUAACAGUUUAAUUUAUUAGAUUUGUUCAUUUCUAUCAGGUCACCCCUAUGUCAAGCUUUAACACCAUCUCCUGGUGAAAUUUUGAACGACUACAUGUUUUGGGAUAGCCAAUGUGCCUGGGCCAAAUUCAAUACCUAAUUUUACACCAUCUCGUACCACCAUGUCACUUGACACAGGGCCUGGAGACUCUGAGGUGGACUCUCCAAUCUCUGGGGUCGAACUCACUGAGGUAAUUUAAAAACUCCCCGGGGGCAAGGCCCCGGGGGUAGAUGAGAUCCGCCCAGAGUUUUUAAAGGCUCUGGAUGUUGUGGGACUGUCAUGGCUGACACGCCUCUACAGCACUGCGUGGACAUCGAGGACGGUGCCUCUGGAUUGACAGACUGGGGUGGUGGUUCCCCUCUUUAAGAAGGGGGACCGGAGGGUGAGUUCCAACCAUAGGGGAAUCACAUUCCUCAGCCUCCCUGGUAAGGUCUAUUCAGGGGUGCUGGAGAGGAUGGUCCGUCGGUAGGUCGAACCUCGGAUUCAGGAGGAGCAGUGUGGCUUUCAUCCUGGCCGUGGAAGAGUGGACCAGCUCUAAACCCUCGGCAGGAUCCUCGAGGGGGCAUGGGAGUUCGCCCAACCAGUCCACAUGUGUUUUGUGGACUUGGAGAGGGCGUUCGACCGUGUCCCUCGGGAAGUUCUGUAGAGGGUGCUUCGGGAGUACGGAGUGCUGAGCCAACUGAUAAGGGCGGUUUGGUCCCUGUAUCACCGAUGCCAGAGUUUGGUCUGCAUUUCCGGCAGUAAGUCGGAUUUGUUCCCAGUGAGGGUUGGACUCCGCCAAGUCUGCCCUUUGUCACCGAUUCUGUUCAUAACUUUUAUGGACAGAAUUUUUAGACGCAGCCGAGGCGUUGAGCGUGUCCGGUUUGAGGACCUCCGUAUUGUGUCUCUCCUUUUUGCAGACAACGUGGUUCUAUUGGCUUCUUCAAGCCGUGAUCUCCAGCUCUCACUGGGGCAGUUCGCAGCCGAGUGUGAAGCGGUCGGGAUGAGGGUCAGCACCUCCAUAUCCGAGGCCAUGGUCCUUGGUCGGAAAAGCGUGGGAUGCCCUCUUCGGAUCGGGUAUGAGAUCCUGCCCCAAGUGGAGGAGUUCAAGUAUCUUGGGGUCUUGUUCCCGAGUGAGGGCAGGAUGGAGCGCGAGAUCGACAGGCGGAUCGGUACAGCGUCUGCAGUAAUGCGGACUCUGUACCGGUCCGUCGUGGUGAAGAGAGAGCUGAGCCAAAAGGCAAAAUUUACCUGUCGAUCUACGCUCCUACCCUCACCUAUGGUCACGAGCUUUGGGUCGUGACCGAAAGAACGAGAUCCCGGAUACAAGCGGGCGAAAUGAGUUCCCUCCGCAGGGUGUCCAGGCUCUCCCUGAGAGAUAAGGUGAGAAGCUCGGUCAUCCGGGAGGGACUCGGAGUAAAGCCGCUGCUCCUCCACGUUGAGAGGAGCCAGAUGAGGUGGCUCGGGCAGCUCACCAGGAUGCCUCCUGGACGCCUCCCUGGGGAAGUGUUCCGGGCAUAUCCCACCAGUAGGAGACCUCGCGGCCGACCCAGGACGUGCUGGAGAGAGUAUGUCUGGUUGAGCUGGAUGAAGUGGCUGGGGAGAGGGAAGUAUGGGAGUCCCUCCUAAAGCUGCUGCCCCCACGACCCGACCCGGAUAAGCCGAAUAGAAUGGAUAAAUGGAUGGAUGAUAAACGAGGGAUUGUCUGUCUGCACUCGGCGUAAUUUCUCUGUUGAUGUGUACAUGAUCACAUAUGUGUCGGUAUGAAUUAUGUGAACGUAUGACUGUUGCACGGAGUAUAAUAUAGGCGUCUAUCCGUGGUGAUAUUGAUAUUUUAACAAAGAAAGAACGCUCCGCUUUCGCAGAGCAUUAACAAACUGAGAUAUACUCUUAUUGUUCCUCUCCACGGAAAUCUUCAGUAAAAGGCGAAAGAUUUAUUCCAUCUGUAGAGAAACGAGUGAUCUGAUAAUCUGGGUCAAAACGGGCCACCCCACUGCUGGUCUCACCAAAUUCACAGGCGGUCUCACAUUCAAAUCGCAGCAUCAUUCCUUCUAAUACAAACAAUAGACGUUGAUAGAGUUACUAUACUUAGAAGGACUCAACCUAAAUAGAAGGUUUAAACGAGUAUUUUGUGUUCAUUAAUGUCUCACUUACUUUAAACCUUGUUGCCGCACAGGAUUGUAAGUACUGGAUCGAACACUGACGGCGCUCGUUCUUUCAAACAGCGAUUGGGCGUCUAUUUUGAGUAUUGAAGGUAAAAACAGUUGUAUGUCUUGGUACGUGUACUUUUGGUAUGAGAGAACAGGAAAUGAUCCCAUCUCUGUGUUUCGUUUGAAAAUGUGUAAUUUCAUUAUUUUAUUCAACACAAAUCGGGAAACAAAAUACGAUCGUAAUUUCUCAGAUGGUUUCUCAAAUUUCAGAAAUGCUCUAUAUCUCUAAUGUGGCGCAAAUAAUUGAGGCUUUUGACGUUGCUGGCAUGGUUUGGGGUGUAAUUCACCUCCACUGCGAUGGUGGCAUUCGAUAUUUGACAUUUGAAUAUAAAUCUGUCAUUUUACUUUAGGAAGUAAAAGUUGUUUUCUAGAAAUCCAUACUUUUGAUGUAUGAGGAACAACAAUCAGGCGCAUUGUCAGGUCUAAAUACCAUCAGACAUUUAACCACACGCUGGAAGGAAGAGGAGAAAAGAACCAGAACAGGUUUACUCGCGAGGAGAACGAUAGAGAGAGGAAACUCAGUUACAAUCUCCAUCAAUUCUGAGUUCUCCCUCCACGUGCUCCUCUAUUUAAUGUUUUGGUUGCCCUGGUUACAGAGGCGUUGCUACACUAAAGGGAGGUGAGAGUGUGACUGUAGCAACGCUGUUCAGCUAGCUAAUAAUGUUGUGUGGUGCGAGGCCGCAUGGCCUUGGCCGAUCCGUGACCCCACGAAUGCAGAGUCUGUUCUUACAUGGUUGGCAGCUUCGUUCCUGGCUGCAAUCUCUAAACCUGGAUGCCGUGUCUCUGUAAAACAAUGCUCUAGACUUUCUUGCUACAUUUCACACAAUAAUAAUAAUAAUAAGUGAAUAAUCAGAUACCUCUCGUGCAAACACUCUAACAAAGGUUAAGUAGAUGUGAGAUAACUUGCAUGAAGUCUACUUAAACAAACAUUGAGUAAAUAUGGGAUAACUAAAAACUGUCUCGGACAAAAGCAAUUAACAGAGAAAGGGCUUCUCUUGAACUAACAAAGAACAAAGAACAAAGAUGUUCUGUUUCUAACUAGUGAGGGCCUCUCAAAGAUAAGACAAGGAAAGGGAGUAUAAGGACUCCCCAAGGCUAGCCGGCACAUAUGUUGACUUGAGCGAAGAUAUGUGACCUUCGGUUCCAGGCCGACCAGCGCUUCAGCAAAACUAAUUAUUCUAACAUUUCCCUCCUGUUUAUCACAUAUUUGCUCAAAUCCUCACAUCACCGUAAACAACCACUACUCUCGAUUUUCAGUUGUCGGAUCACAUUUAUGAAAACAAAUAUGUUUACACUCAAAAGAUAAAUGUUGCGUCGUCAUCACUCAGAAUUGCAUGGAUCGGGGAAAAAGUCUUGUAACGUCAGUGCACGAAUCCCGUCAUCAACAUUGUUAUCAUCAUCAUCAUCAUCUUGUCGCUCAGACAUUAGACACAUCCGAGCCAUCUUGUCCUCCAUGGGCGAUAUUGCUGUAGUGAUGAGACGGUUAAACAGAGCUCAUAUUGGUUCAACAGUUCAUUUUUUCUGACAUUUUUCUCAGUUGUCAUUGUCAUCCCAGUGUCAAAGUUCAAUGUGGCUUAGAAUAAUAUUGAAUGUUUCGUGACUUGUAAGAAAUUCAAGAGCCACUGGCAUAGUGGUUCUCUCAACUCAUUUUAGUUUAAUUUAUGGUCUAUUCUUCGCAGGUUUUAAACAUGACCACCGCCUAGAUCUUGAAGUACGGCGUCACAGAUGACGAGACGGUGGACAAACUGCAGCAGAGAAUUGCAGACGAAACCAGCAUCCCUGCAGCCCAGCAGGAGUUGCUCCUGGAGGCCGGCUCAGCUUUGGAGCCUCUCGGGCCGGCCACGCAUUGCGCCAUCGAUUACACCGUAACUCAUAUCGAAUCGUUCUCGCAUAAAAAAUGUCAAUGGCACAUCAUGUCUCAAAUCUCAUACUAUGUGGAGGAGCUAGAUGGGCGGCGGACAGACUUCCCUCUCGUUUUCCUGUUUGAUCGCUCAUCUUGUAGUUACGAACCACCGUUGACUCCUCGCGUCCUCCCUAAAAAUGUCAGUUUUAUCCAUGAGUCUUCCUCCUCCUUUUGUUGGAAUUAAAAUGUAUUUUAUUCUUAGUGUGUGCCAUAGAAUAGUGUAACUAUUUAAACAUUCUUAGUGUAGCUGCCAUAAGAAAAUGCACUGAUAUGGAACGUUUGAGCCAGGCUCUGUUUCCAAGUGGGAACCAAUUUUAGUUUUUGUGUUAGCGGUUCCUUUUUGAGAGUUACACAAGGGCGAGUGUCUGAUUUUGAGCCACGGCGUGGCAACGUUUUCCGUUUGCAAAAGCAAGUGAUGAAGAAUGCAAGGAAUGCUUCUUUUGUUUCUUUUCUGAUAACAUUUUUGUUUAUUGGUUAAACCAGAGUUUUGAAGAUCUGUAUUGUCAAGAUUUACGUUUUUUUUCGUUUUCUCCCUCGAGCAAAUGCGGCAAUGAGUUCUCACGGCAUGUGUGUGGAGAAGGAGUUGAAUAAAUGCCCGUUUUGAAGAACUGCUUGUACACCUGAUUGACAAGAGGGAGCUACAGUGAGAACUCAGCCAGCCCGGCGCCAGAACAAGACGUUGUUCGGCAGAGCUACAAGCAAGUCACUUCACUCACCUCUUCCAUCGGACAGAUAAGAGACUGUACAUUCACCUGCCUACACAAGUAGCUACCUGAGUCCAGAGAGCUUUGGGUGCCAGUCAACAAUAAGUAAAACAUUUGAACAAGUUAAAUGUUUAAAGGUGGACUAGCCUCAAUUGCUGUAAAGGGACCUACAAGUGCUAAAUUGUGCAAUGUUAUGGUGAUGUGUGCAUGUUGUAAGGUUUAAGUGCUUGCUUAUUUGCACCUAGUAAUGUCUGAUUGAGGUGUGAACGACCAUUCAUAGCAUUUGAAAACAAGUUCAUUUGCAAACAUUUAAAGGUGUAGAACAACAUUUAAGUGAUUAAGUCAUUGCAAUGAAAAUUAAGUUUAUUGUACAUUUAGUCAAUAUAUUAGACAGGUUGGUUGAUAAAGUAAAUUACAGGAGUCAGUAGUAAUUCAAGAUAGCCUACUGUAGUCAAGUGAUAAAACUAUAACAUCAUUACAUUAGUAAAUCAGAUUUAUACUUGAGUUUAAAGAAAAUCAGUUCAUAUAGCUUAAAUUUCAUGCAAAAUCGUAAUAAAAAAUAAUAGAUAAAUUAAUAAUCUUAAUAAAUACUGAGUUCAUGAGACUUCCUAAAAAUGGAUGUGUCCAAGAUAGAAGGGAUAACUCCAAUCUUAGAAGGCAUUGAGGAUGCUGAUAGUGAGCAAGCAGGUAAAACUCUUAAGGGGGAGACUGAAAUAAGUGAAGGCAAACAACCUGCCCCAGAAGAUGAAAUAAGAAGAAGUGAAAGAUCAAGAAAGCUCACUGAGAAGGGACAAGAACUCGAAGAGACUAAACUCAAAGGUCUCCAACAUCGUUUCUCACGUACCUAUGACAAGUGGAAGAUUCUUGCUAAGAAAUCAAGGAAGGAGAUAGAGGGAGCCUCUUCUCAAGAGAACCUACAAACUCUCAUCAACAAGGUAAAAGAAGCAUCAAAUGAUGUACAGCAGGCGUACGAAGACCUGCGCAAAUGCAUAAUCCCUGAUAAAGAGACACGCCGUCGAACAGACACCUGCGACAAUGUCUCAAGGCAGAUAUUAGAGCAUGCUUGGAAUCAUCUCCAAGACAAAGAUAACGAGCAAGAAAUAAAGUGGUUUGAAACUGGCUCUGUGUUCUCAUUAGAAGUAUCAGAAGCAUGCAGUGCAAGCUCAAGAUCAUCACUCUCAAGUAAAUCCUCAUGUAAAUCUUCAAAAAUAAGUGAAGCUGCAGCAGAAUUAGCAGCAAAUGAAGCCACUUUGGAAGUCCAAGAGCAAGUGGAGCGUGAGGAACGUGAACUCAGAAACCUAGAAGCUGAGUACAGACAAAGGCUUGUGCAACAAGAAAAGGAACGUGCACAAGAAGAAGAGCAAUGUAGACAAAGGCUUGCACAAGAAGAAGAAGAAUGUGCUGCAAAUAAACAGGUCUUGGAAGAAAAGCGCAGAAAGAUAGAACGCUUAGAGACCAUAAAAAAGAUAAAUGCCGCCAAGGCCAAACUAGAAGUGUAUAAACAAGAACAAGGCUCAACCUCAGACUUGCUGGAUCUAUUCAAGGAUUAUAAGCCCAAACGAGAAAGGCUUACAUUCGACUCAAAACCUGCUGUCCCGCCACAACUAAUCACAAGGAUGCAAUCAUCUAUAACUACUCCCAAAGAGGAUAGCACAACUGAUUUCGCCAAGGUACUAGCAGAGUCCUUCAGUGUAAGCCGUCUCCCAGCACCAGAGCCUGCUGUUUUCAGUGGGGAUCCACUAAAGUACAAGGGCUGAAAAAUGUCCUUUCAAACGCUGAUAGGCAGAAAGAAUAUACCAGCGAACGAAAAAAUCUACUACCUACAAAAAUAUGUUGGCGGACCAGCAAGGAAAGCCAUUGAGGGAUACUUCCUUCUAGGAACAGAUGCAGCCUAUCAGACAGCGCUCAGUGUCCUGGAAAAAAGAUUUGGAAGCUCCUUUAUGGUUGCUAAGGCGUUCAGAGAUAAGCUGGCCUCAUGGCCAAAGAUAGGACCCAAGGAAAGCAUUCAGCUACGAGAGUUCUCAGACUUCCUUCGAGGCUGCCAAGCAGCCAUGUCGCAAAUAAAGAGCCUGGAGGUCCUUAACGACUGUGGUGAAAACCAACGAAUGCUCUCCAAGCUUCCCGACUGGCUUACAGCAAGAUGGAACCGAAGGGUGACCAGGAUGGAAAAGGAAAAUGAGACUUUCCCCAGCUUCGAUCAGUUCGUGGAAUUCGUCACAGAGGAAGCCGAUAUCGCUUGUAAUCCGAUUACCUCCCUUCACGCUCUGAAGUCUGGAGAUGGUGGAAUGGAGAAGCCACAAAAAACACAAAGUGUUGGUGCCAAGGUGCUAGCAAGUAGCUCUGAAGAGAAAACAGAUGCUAAAGGAUGUGUAUUCUGUGAGAAGUCAAAUCAUGGCUUACAGACAUGUCGAAAGUUCUUGAAAGAGACAACUGCAGAACGAGUCAAGUUUGUGAAAACAAACAAGCUCUGCUUUGGAUGUUUGAAAUCAGGACAUCAGUCCAAGAACUGUGAGAAGAGAAGCAUUUGUGAGACAUGCAAAAGGAAGCAUCCAACAUGUCUACAUGAAAAUCGUCCAAGGGAAGACAAUAGGAAAGAACAAGAGGAUGGCGAAAGAAAGGAGAGUGGGAGACGCUUUAAGAAAAAGGAGCGCACAAAGGAGAAGGAAGACUUAUCAGAGUCUGAAGAGAAAGAAGAGACACCAGUAGAGGCAACAGCUAACAGAGUGGUGCAAGACAAGAGGAGCACCUAUUCCUCCACAGUUGUUCCUGUAUGGCUGUCCACAGCAAGUAAUCCAGAGCAGGAAGUGCUCGUAUACGCUCUAUUGGACAACCAAAGCGACACCACCUUCAUCCUGCAAGAAACGGCAAAAGUGUUAGUUACAAAGAAACAGGCUGUGCAAUUAAAGCUCUCCACGAUGUCAUCCAAAGAUACCGUCAUCCAGAGUCAGAAGUUAACUGGACUGCAGGUCAGAGGUUAUAAUGAGACAAGGAAAAUAUCUCUCCCAGUAACCUACACAAGAGAGUUUAUUCCUGCAAACCUAAGUCAUGUCCCCAUACCUGAGACAGCAAGAUCAUGGCCUCACCUAGAGCACCUUGCCGGAGAGAUCACUCCUUUAUGUGACUGUGAGAUUGGCCUGCUCAUAGGCUACAACUGUUCUCAGGCCCUGUUGCCCAGAGAAGUGGUGUCAGGAAAAGAUAAUGAGUCUUUCGCUCAACGAACAGACUUGGGCCGGAGUAUAGUUGGCUGUGCAGAUCCCUGGUUCGAAUCUGGGUCAUGGCAUAAUCAAAUUACUUUGAAGAAUUUCUCCCUUGCUCACUAUUGCUAAACUGACAUCUUUUGGACAAUGACGAUUUUCCACACAAGUCUACGGUCAAUAGCCGUAACUUGUAGGGCGAGUGGCGCAAAGAAUAAAGCAUCAUGGCAUAUUCAAAUAAUGUCACCUAUUUUUUAUUUUCAUUUUUGCAAAAGUGUUACAAGCUUACAAGCCACAUAUUCCCGUGGGGCUCGUGGAGCAAUGGGUAACGCAUCUGUCUACAGAUCAGAAGAUUCCAGGACUCCUGGCCAGCUUACAUGCCAUUUUGUGGUCAACAUUAGCUAUGUGUAGUUUAUGUGAACUUUUGGGUUGAAGUAACUCACAGACACUGUCAACAAAUAGUCUUUCCAAUUUUGUCUCAGCUCAAGUAUUAGGGAUCAUCAGAUCUGCGUAGUUAUUGGAUAGUUCCACCAACAUUUUAAUAUCAACAUCUGCCUGGGUGUCGUGGCUGAAGAUCCUAGAAAAAAGACCCUAAACAUGCAACUGCAUAUUGGCCAUAAUAUAGCAUCGAGGCGGCUGCAAUCCCAGUUUGAAUCUACAUACACACAAGCUUACAGAAAAUGACAACUUCCCGUGGGGCUAGUGGCUCGUUCCUUGCUCUGAACGGAGAGCCAAAACGAUUCCUAACACUUACUAAUGAAGUCCUAACCAAUUCCUGUGUGUGUAUGGGGGGCGGGGGGGGCAAAGGAACCAAUCAGAUGGCCCGAAUCCAUGCAUGGCCGAUGACGGCAGUGAUCAACACAGUGCUAUUUGAGAAGUGAAAUGCAGUUUAUAGGAUUUGCAGACAGUGUGCAAUCUUUAUUUAAACAAAAGUAGGCAGGUGCAUACAUUUGGAAACCCCAUCAGAAAAAUGACAUCAAUAUUUAGUAGUUCCUCCUUUUGCAGAAAUAACAGCCUCUAAACCAGUGGUUCUUAACCUGGAUUCGGUCAAACUCUAUGAGUUCGGUGAGUCGGUCUCAGGGGUUCAGCAGAGCCUCCACUGUGGAGGUCCGAACACACCUGUUUUAUAAAUUCGUGAUAACGCCUAUCUGAACUGGUCUCGCAAAGGCAACAGCAGAAGUCCUCCUGAUUUGCUGGUAUGUCAUUUGUCAUGAAUUCAUGCAUUGUGUUGGUUUUAUUCUUUCAACAAGGUGGUGUUCAUGCACUUCUGCAUGAGUUCCGCUCUAUUCUUCUGGCCCAACUCUUUCGGCGCAGCCGUUAGGUAGAUAUGAUGACCAUGGAAAGUUCUUUGUGAAUUAUCAAUCUUUGCCUUUCAUGUUCAUCGGGACUACACUUUUAAUAGGUACCUACACUGUGUAUUUGGAUAGAGACUGCUGAAAGUAUACACAUAUAUGCUUCGUGAACUACAUGCAUUACUGCGGGUGAAGAAGCGUGAACAAAUAAGUCAGCAGACAAGUUUGCCGAUUUAUUAGUGCCCAGAAGAGAAGCACUUCACAGUUUAACUAUUUAAUGUCUGCCAGAAUAAUCGAUGUACAGCUGUGGACCCCUUUCGGCGAGAUGCAAAAGAAGGUCCCUCUCCCAGCGCCAAGGUUCUUUAUACUACUCUGGGCCGCCUUCCUGCAAGGAGGCGACUCUGCCUAGCCUAGCGGUGGCCAACCCGCGGCUCGCGAGCCGCAUGCGACUCUUUGGCUGGUUUCAUGCGGCUCUUUUACGUUCAUAUCAACAUUUGUGUUUAUUUUUCGUGCGUAUUUGCUUCGCUUGAGUUCAAUAUGGUAUUUUGGUCAAACGCGCAUGCGCGUGAGGUGAAAUCCCGCAAAGGAGGAGGGACAAACAGAGCGAUUGGUUUUGCUGGCUUUUUAAUGAAUGGCGACUGUGACUACGGGGGCCCAUUAGGUCCAGAAAAGCUGACACGACGCUUGCCAAAAUGGCAAAGAAAAAAUGCACAGCUAAACGAAUAUAUGACGAUGAACACAGGAUGUUUUUAACAGAGUUAAAGUUGUUUUUUGUUGAACGCUAUGGCAAGCCAUUCUGCCUGAUAUGUCGGACGUCAUUGGCGCAUUUAAAAGCUUCAAAUGGUCAGCGCCACUUCAGCUCACUUCAUGCCAAUAUCGAUAAGGACUUUGCAAAAGGGACUGAUAUUUCGCAAGCACAAGUUUGGAGACUUUGAAAAGUCAGGCAGAAAAAUAGGUACAGUUUUUCAAAAAAAUUACGAAGCACUCAGAGACUGUCACACUUGCAUUGUUUCAACUGACUUGGAAUAUUGCACGGGCUAAAAAGCCAUACAAUGAAGUGGAGUUCGUUAAAAUAUGCCUCAGUGACGUUAUUGAAAUCUUGUCUCCUGAAAAUGACAAACUAAAACGAAUGGUCUGUCCCGCCACACAUGGUAAGUGGAAAAACGUAUGUUUUUGUUUGUGGAAUUUGUUGAACUGAGUUUGUCUGUGUGAGACAAUGCAGACAAUGUUCAUUGUUGAAAAUGUGGUCUUUGGUCUGUGGUUUUAGUACUGUAGGAGUCAAUUUGUCAUUAUCAUGUUGGUGCGUGACAUAAUAAUGUCACACAAUAAAUUUGGCUGAGCAGAGGGGUGUGUGUGUGUGUGUGCGUGUGUGUGUGGGUGUGCGUGUUUGUGUGUGUGUGUGUGGGGAGGGGGUGUUCAUGUGUGCUCAGUUGUAUGAUGUGGCUCUUUGCGAUGACACAGUAAAAAAUGUGGCUCUUAGUCUCUGACUGGUUGGCCACCCCUGGCCUAGCUGGUGUGAUAACGUGUGACCUUGUAGUCUUAACUGAGAGCGACUUCUACAUAUGUGCAAAGGGUGUCAUAGAGAAGAGAAAGCUAAUAAAGCAAGACUCGAGUCCUAUUCUAACAAACCGUUGGUGAGAAUGGGUAGACAGGGAAGCCUGUAAUGCAGUGCUUCUCAAUUAUUUUCUGUUACGCCCCCCCCUAGCAAGAAGGAAACUUUUCGCGCCCCCCCCUCCCCACCGUGACUAUCCUAACUUGUCUUGUAAAUCGUAAAAUGUUGCACUGUCGCAAACGUCACAGAAGUAACAAUGAGAGCGCCACUGCCCCCUGCUGGGAAGAUGCGCGAGUACACUUUAUUCUAGUACUGCAAAAAAAAAAGCCUGUUCCCCAGGGUCACACGCGCCCCCCCAGGUAUAGCACGGCGCCCCCCAAGGGGGGCGCGCCCCACUAUUUGAGAAGCACUGCUGUAAUGUCAUGACUCGUCCCCGGUCACGUCCAUGUUGUCAUAGUUUUGUCCGUGUGUCUGUGUGCUCACCCCUCCCCUCCUGUGUGCCCAUGAUCAGUGUGAUCAUUCUCACCUGCCUCUUGUUACCUGUCUUGUAUAUUAAGUCCUGUCUGUGUAUCACUCCCUGUCGGAGCAUUGAUGUGUUUGUUACUGUCAUGAGGUUUUUUUGGUUCCUGUCUUGGUAAUGUCACCCUGUCUUUUUGUCUCACGUCUCUGUUGUUGGUUUUGUUAGUAAGUCUUGUCAGUUUGCAGAGUCUUUUGAGUUUGCUUCAAUAAACCGUGGUCCAAGCUGCACUUGGUCCCCCUGCUCCAUUUCCACACUCCGUUCGUGACAUGCACUUCUAGAGUUGGACCGAGCCAUUUUUUACUUCAUCUGGAAAUCCAAGUUGGAGAGACUGAAGAGGGACACCAUGAAGAAAAACAAAAAAAAGGAGCGGGAAGCGGUGUGUCCAGUGCGCGGGCUUGCAUUCGGCGAGCCCACAACAGUUUGGCGCAACGUCAACCACCCCGCCCUCUCGAAACAAACUUCGGGACCUGUCAUGGAUGGUGGCCCAUGAUGUCCUCCCAGUCAGGUCCGUUAUGCACUCUCGGGGCAUGUCAGCGCUCUCAGCGUGCCCCUGACCUGGCUGUGGUGCCCAGGAGUCAGUGUGGGACCUGCUCUGGUAGUGCAGGGCUGCCGUAGACCUGUGGGCGACCUGCAAUUCCCCGCAAGGUAAGCGCAGAUUGCAGACCUUGUACUCUAUGCGUUGACCCCGUUGAAAAUCAAGCAAGAAGACUUUACAAAGCAGUCGUUGCCAUCAAAGACGCCAUGUGGACUUCCAGAAACUUGCUGGUAAGGAAGCACAGACAGAUA